rnacentral:rRNA from 1 species
UACGAAGGGGGCUCGCGUUGCUCGGAAUGACUGGGCGUAAAGGGCGCGUAGGCGGCUCAUACAGUCAGAUGUGAAAUUCCUGGGCUUAACCUGGGGGCUGCAUCCAAAACUGGCGGGCUAGAGUUCUGGAGGGGGUAGCGGAAUUCCUGGUGUAGCGGUGAAAUGCGUAGAUAUCAGGAGGAACACCGGUGGCGAAGGCGGCUACCUGGACAGAAACUGACGCUGAGGCGCGAAAGCUAGGGGAGCAAACAGG